UACGUAGGGCGCAAGCGUUGUCCGGAAUUAUUGGGCGUAAAGAGCUCGUAGGCGGUCUGUCGCGUCUGCUGUGAAAAUCAGGGCUCAACCCUGGACCUGCAGUGGGUACGGGCAGACUAGAGUGCGGUAGGGGGAGAUCGGAAUUCCUGGUGUAGCGGUGAAAUGCGCAGAUAUCAGGAGGAACACCGGUGGCGAAGGCGGAUCUCGUGGGCCAUUACUGACGCUGAGGAGCGAAAGCGUGGGGAGCGAACAGG
rnacentral:rRNA from 1 species